GAUGAACGCUAGCGACAGGCCUAACACAUGCAAGUCGAGGGGCAGCACGAAUCAAGCUUGCUUGAUUUGGUGGCGACCGGCGCACGGGUGCGUAACAGGUGUGCAAUCUGUCCAUAAUCGGGGAAUAGCCCAGCGAAAGAUUUAUCGGUAACGGAUGAGGAUGCGUACGAUUAGCUGGUUGGCGGGGUAACGGCCCACCAAGGCUACGAUCGUUAGGGGUUCUGAGAGGAAGGUCCCCCACACUGGAACUGAGACACGGUCCAGACUCCUACGGGAGGCAGCAGUGAGGAAUAUUGGUCAAUGGUCGAGAGACUGAACCAGCCAAGUAGCGUGAAGGAUGACUGCCCUACGGGUUGUAAACUUCUUUUGUUUGGGAAUAAAUGAUACUACGUGUAGUAUUUUGCAUGUACCUUACGAAUAAGCAUCGGCUAAUUCCGUG
rnacentral:rRNA from 1 species